CGAUACUUAUUAAUAUCGAUGGUUCAGCCCAGGAACAGCUGUGCUUGACCGGGACCAUUCACAAUGGACUCCCCGUCUAUUGAUAAUUUAUUUGCUGCUACGCAAAUAAAUAAAUAAAAGGCUCAACACUAGACAUGUAAGGGUGAGAUGAGGAUCCUCAGUAUGACGCUGCACCACGGCACGCAGUCACUGUAGAAGGCGCCUACUAAAAACUCAAAUCUUGCUCGGGCUAUGGCGAAUUGCUGCUCCUAUGCUCUGAUACGUAGGGCAACGAUGCUCCUUCCGCUUGGGACAGGACAUGGACCUACUACGCAACCAUUCAUAAGAACUACCAAACAACCACAAAAAAAAACGCCUCAGAGCACCCUGUAGGGCAACAAUGAGUGGGCACCAAGACUCCUCACGGACCUGCUACACUCGCUCCUUCGCUGCGCCUAUUCUGCUGGUUACCAACCUACACCGCGCUGUAAGAAAGAUGCAACUGCGGCAACGAUGGGCUGAGCCCUAGUGAAGCUCACCCACGGACCUGGCAGUUGCACCGUUUCCCGCCAGCUCAGGGGCCGCCAGCAGCUAUUGCUGUUGAAAUUUACAUGUAAACACUAAAUAAAGAAUACAAAUCAACAAAAAAAACAAACAACAAGACUCUGGCUUUUAACUUCGCUUCGAACUGGGGCAACAUUUGCUAAAAUGUAGACCCAGGU